UUCCGGUUGAUCCUGCCGGAGGUCACCGCUAUUGGAAUUCGCUUAAGCCAUGCAAGUCUAAAGGACUUCGGUCCUUGGCGGACUGCUCAGUAACACGCGGAUAAUCUGCCCUCGGGAGGGGGAUAAGCUCGGGAAACUGAGUAUAAUACCCCAUAGGCGUAGGAUACUGGAAUGUUCUUACGCUGAAAGUUCCGACGCCCGAGGAUGAGUCUGUGGCCUAUCAGGCUGUAGUGAGUGUAACGGACUCACUAACCGACGACGGGUACGGGCCUUGAGAGAGGUCGCCCGGAGAUGGACUCUGAGACAUGAGUCCAGGCCCUACGGGGCGCAGCAGGCGCGAAAACUUCACAAUGUGGGCAACCACGAUGAGGG
rnacentral:rRNA from 1 species